rnacentral:lncRNA from 1 species
GGUACCAUGACGAAGCCAAUCGCUUCAGGAAUGGCCAGGAUAAAGGACAGGAUCCAGAUGGAGACAAUUUCAAUGGCAGUUACCAAAGGAAUCCCAAUUCCCUGAACACGACUCCAGGAGGCAACUGCUCUGUACCUGAAAAAAAGGAGUUCCAGGUCUGGCCUCUGAAAGGAGCCUUGAGCCUGCUGGAGCAAAAACAGAGAGGACCCUGAGACUACAUGGAGGGGGAGAUGGGCUCUGCUGAGCUCAGACAUCCAGCUGUCCCUGCCAAGGUGCCAGGCAUGUGAGUGUUGGACCUCUGACACAAGCUCAGAGUCAGCUGAAGUCCACCAACCCCAGGUGACGUGACAAGGAGCAGAAGAAUUGCCCAAAUUCCUGACCUUCAACAUGGUGAGAUAUGAUAAAACGGUUGUUGUUCUGAAUUGCUAAGUUUUGGGGUAGUUAUCAAAGAGAAGUGGGGUAGCAAAAUUAACCAGUUGCCUGAUCUUGACAAUAGAAUAAGAUAAAAGAACAAAUAACUCAGUACGAUAGUGAACAGACUCCCAAAUAAGAUCCUAUUGCCCUAGCCAGCCUUGGACUUUGUCCAGUUCCCUGCUCAUGUCUUCUGGCUCAGACCCUUCCUCUGUGUCUUCACUAUUGUCAUGGUGCAAUAGAAAACCAUAACACCAGGAAAAUAAGGAGAAACCAAGUCCAACUCUAACAAAGAGGUUUUUCUGAAAACCACCUUCAUGUUUCUUGAGUUAGGAUAUACCUUUGAGAAUAUCACAGAGACCACUGAUCAAUUAUUUGAAAUGAUGGGUUCAAGAACUGACAUCAGCUUUUCAGCCAUAUAAAACAAAGCUGCCUCAUUAAUGGAUCUUUGCAACUUUUCCAAGUAUCUAAUAACACAUCACUCUGGAAUAGUUGUUAAAAGAGUUUUAUCUUUUUAUAGCCUUCUUCCCCAGGCAACUUUUAACAAGUUGGAUCUGUACCCAGACCUUUUUACUGGUCUGACCCCAUCAUCAUCAUCUUCCACUUUAACACGAUUUUGCAAAGAUCAACAGUGAUCCCUCCUACCCCUCUCCUGCUGCUGCUUUUUUUUUUUUUGCCUCCAAACAAACUCAAAGUAAUAUAUAAAACUUGUCACUUUCAGCAUGUAAAAAUAACUAUUUUAAUAGCUGGUAAUGGCUGGUUAUUCAUUUUUGUUGGGAAAAGUUUAUUCAUUAUAGAAGUAUACUGCCUUAGAAUUAAAAAGAUAAUUCAACAAGAAAGCUGGAUAGGGGUCAAAAUUUGUUUCUGAAUUUCUUCAGUUCCUGAUUUGUCUUUUUCUCAAAUGACCAAGGAUGUGAAACUAGAUUUGCGGAGGAAUUAUUCAAAAGGUUAAACUGAGACAAGUCCAUAGUUGAAAUUAGCAAUGAAAGCCUAUCCAUUCUGGCAGAAAUCAUGUGCUUUCUCUCAGUCCUGUUUAGCUUAUUCAGAUUAAAAGCUGAUAGUGAGAAAGCUAGAUAUUUUCUUUGAUCUUACAUCAUUCUGUAAUCAUUGAUUGACGAAGUAAUAAAGAAAUCCUAUAGAACUUGGAUGUAAGGUUUCUCUCAUUUUCUUUCAAACAACUCUGAAAUGUGAGAUAAUUAUGUUUUUAAAAUACUGUGUAAAAAAAUCAUGGGAACUCUUUGUCCUGGGCCAUAAUUUAUUCAGCUCAUAAAAUGAAAGCAGGGAUUCACAAACUGCAACAGGUUCCAAACUCCCUUUUCAUUCCUUGUUUCAUUUUAAAAAGUGUUUUUUAUUUUUUAUUUUUAUUUUUUUUUGUAGUAGUAGAAUAUAAUGCAACCAAAUUAAGAGUUAAAGCAAAUGGAAUCUUAUCUUCAGGAAUUAAGUGUGAAUGAUUCAUUCUCUCGUGUGAAAGCUUUUGAAAUAGAAAUGUCAAAUAGAUUCCCUACAUACAAGUCCUGAAGCUUAGGGUCAAUACCAAAUGAAAUGUAAAAAUAGUAAAGUGUGUGUCUAGGGAACAAAGAAUGAUUAGUUUAUUUUCAAGGAAAGACCUUUUGGAUUAAGGCUGAUUUUUGUGAGAGUGGAAUUUUAAAAUAGUUCAUUUCCUUGAUCUACAACUCAGAUCAAAUCUUAAUGAGAUAGAUUCUUGGCAUCAUUUUUUCUUACUUUCUUUUCUUUUUUUUCUUUUCUUUCUUUUCCUUCCCUCCUUCCUUCAGUCCUUCCUUUCUUUUUAACUAAGAAUGACUCACAUUUCAUUUGAUACACAACUAUUUAUCGUGAUGGAACAUCUUAUUUCUUUUUCU